UCAUCAUGCCCUUAUGACCUGGGCUACACACGUGCUACAAUGGCUGGUACAACGAGUCGCAAGCCGGUGACGGCAAGCUAAUCUCUGAAAGCCAGUCUCACGUUCGGAUUGUAGGCUGCAACUCGCCUACAUGAAGUCGGAAUCGCUAGUAAUCGCGGAUCAGCACGCCGCGGUGAAUACGUUCCCGGGCCUUGUACACACCGCCCGUCACACCACGAGAGUUUGUAACACCCGAAGUCGGUGAGGUAACCGUAAGGAGCCAGCCGCCUAAGGUGGGAUAGAUGAUUGGGGUGAAGUCGUAACAAGGUAGCCGUAUCGGAA
rnacentral:rRNA from 1 species